UACGUAGGGUGCGAGCGUUAAUCGGAAUUACUGGGCGUAAAGUGCGCGCAGGCGGCAGAGCAAGUCGACUGUGAAAGCCCCGGGCUUAACUUGGGAAUUGCGCUCGAAACUACUUUGCUGGAGUGUGGCAGAGGAAGGUGGAAUUCCACGUGUAGCGGUGAAAUGCGUAGAGAUGUGGAGGAACACCAAUGGCGAAGGCAGCCUUCUGGGCCAACACUGACGCUCAUGCACGAAAGCGUGGGGAGCAAACAGG
rnacentral:rRNA from 1 species